rnacentral:lncRNA from 1 species
CAGUGCUAUUUGUUGCCUUGUCCUUGUCUACUUUGUAAUUGCAGCCUGCUCAACUUUCGAUCUCCUUGAUAGCCUGUGUUGUUCAUCUUUCAAAUUACCUUGGGAUUCCCUUGACAUUUUGCAUUAGAGUAUGAUUCUGUCUGGAGUAGAGGUCAAGAACUGGUUCCCCCAGUUCGGGAAACUGUUCCACAGACUGCCUCACAGCUUUGCCACAGAACCUUCUGCUCACCACUUGUGUUUGGCAGAUCAUCUUUACAACAUGGCCAGAAGUAGGCACUGAUCGUUGAGAAGAAAAUGAGAUUUUAGGGAAGUGAAAUAACCCAGGUUUCUGUGUCUUUAAAACAGAUAUUGUCAAACUGCAGUCUGCAGGCCAGAUCUGGCUGCCUUCCUGUUUUUGUAAAUGAGGCUUUAUUGUA